rnacentral:rRNA from 1 species
CAAGCGGUGGAGCAUGUGGUUUAAUUCGAUGCAACGCGAAGAACCUUACCUACUCUUGACAUCCAGCGAACUUAGCAGAGAUGCUUUGGUGCCUUCGGGAACGCUGAGACAGGUGCUGCAUGGCUGUCGUCAGCUCGUGUUGUGAAAUGUUGGGUUAAGUCCCGCAACGAGCGCAACCCUUAUCCUUUGUUGCCAGCGAUUCGGUCGGGAACUCAAAGGAGACUGCCGGUGAUAAAUCGGAGGAAGGUGGGGAUGACGUCAAGUCAUCAUGGCCCUUACGAGUAGGGCUACACACGUGCUACAAUGGCGCAUACAAAGAGAAGCGACCUCGCGAGAGCAAGCGGACCUCACAAAGUGCGUCGUAGUCCGGAUCGGAGUCUGCAACUCGACUCCGUGAAGUCGGAAUCGCUAGUAAUCGUGGAUCAGAAUGCCACGGUGAAUACGUUCCCGGGCCUUGUACACACCGCCCGUCACACCAUGGGAGUGGGUUGCAAAAGAAGUAGGUAGCUUAACCUUCGGGAGGGCGCUUACCACUUUGUGAUUCAUGACUGGGGUGAAGUCGUAACAAGGUAACCGUAGGGGAACCUGCGGCUGGAUCACCUCCUU